AUGUAAUGAUGAUAUUCUUAAAUUCUGAGAUGACAUUUUAGCCCUCUAGUAAUGGUUCACCAGGCUUCCACAUUCAAAGCAAUUUUCGUUCCUUGCUCUUUUUUGGUGUGAUUCAUGGCAGCCCACAGUUUCAACUGGCUUCAGAGAAGAUAGCUGAGCAGAAGAAUCCAGCUCAGUUGAGCUGAAAUUGCUGACAGGCAGCUCAUUGAUUUCUCAUGUCUUGGAUGUUUGACUUGGACUUUUGAGGACAAAGACAUUAAAGCCACAAUUUCCAAAGGGUACUACCUGCCGUUUUACCAAAAAGAAUGGAUCCAUCAUUUUCAAAUUUGGAUUGUCACCCAAAAGGCUUCUUGACAGAUUCCAGCCCAGUUCUUGUGUGGAGAGGACCAUUGUCAUCAAAGAGGCAUGUCUUAAGAUGUUUGUGAAUUGAAUUUAAAUGAGGUGAAAUUGCACAAAGUCAUCAGCCUUUCUCUUCCUGAGUCACUGAAGUCAAGAGGAAAAACAAAAGUCAAGAGGACUACUCAUGGUCUGGGAUGCAAUGGAUGAUUUUGGUGUCUUCAGUGUCUGACCAAGCUUUGACUAGGUUUACCCUCUUUUUUUUUUGAAUACUUAAUAAUGCCUUAUGUGCCUCUGGAAAUGGAUACUAUUACCUGAAACUAGAAAAUAUAUAAUAUAAUUAACUUUAUAUUUAGGAAAACUCACUUAAAAUGUUACCUCAAGAAAUAAUUCACUCAUGUCCUGGACUUAGUAAGACUGAGAAGAAGAGCUUUUUCAUAUUAUCAUGAUCCUGUUUAUCUGCUUGUCCUCUCACAAUAAACCCACAAAUUUACUAAGUAGUAGAAAGAAAAACAAGGACACUAGUCAAUCAAUCAAUAAAUAUUUAUUAAACAUGUACCAUAUACUGAACACUCUGAUAGGUGUUGGAGAUAUAAAAGUUACUAAAAAGGGUAAAAGACUCUUCAAUCUGAAGGUGGAGACAACAUAAAAUAUGUACAGAAAAUCACCCCAGGAUAAAUAGGAAAUAAUUACCAGAGAGAUGAUACUAUAUUUAAGAAAGGUUUCUGGCAGAAGAUAGGAUUUUAGUUGGUCCUUAAAAGAAGCCAGAGAAGAUAGUGAACAGAAAUAGUAGGGGAAAUAUUCCAAACAUGGGAGAAAAUUCUGGAGCUAGGAAACUGAGUGCAUUGCUAAUGAAACACCAAAUAUUUCAGUAUCAUUGGAUGAAAGAAUAUAUGGAAAAGAAUGAGUGAGAAAAUUAGAUGGUGUGUGUAUAUGUGUGUGUGUGUGUGUGUGUGUGUGAGAGAGAGUUAUGGAGUAGUAAGAGCUUUGAUUCUAAACAGAAGAUUUUAUAUUUGAUUUUCUAGUCUGAAGCUCCAAUAGCUAGUUGGAUAAACUUGGUGAAGGCCACUUUAACUCUUUUUGUCUCAAUUUCCUUAUAUGUGAAAUUAGUGAGGGUUGUAGUAGAUAACCUUUAGAGUCUUUUACUGAUUUAGCAUAUGAAUCUAAUUUCUUUAGAUUAAGUUAGCUCAUUAUCUCUCUUUUUGAGAAGGAAAAGAAUUAAUGUAUAUAUGUGUGUAUGUGUGUGUGCAUGUAUAUCUACAUACUCAAAGAGAUAAGUAAUUUACAUCAUUUCACUUUAAAAAUAAUAAAAUACUAAGUUAAUAAAAAUAGCAUCAUAAGCAUAUCUUUUAAACCAGAAAAAAAAUAACAUUAAGUUCAGACUCAAUUCUCCUGGGUCUGGGAAUUUUUGCCUGGAAGUAUAAUUCUAUCUUUUUUAUUUGCAUUGAAGAGUUAAUUUAGACAGAGUUUAUUUUGGACUAGAGACAACUACACUAGUUGAAAACAAAAGUAGUCAUGGAUGGGUCGUUUUUAUGAUGGACAAUCAAACAGAAGCCAUCAUUUGCAUUACUAAGCAUAGACAUUAUUGAUGGAAUAAGCAUUUUGGAGAGAAUUGUUAACUUUGACUAUAGCCAUAUUUUCUGUGGAACUGACAUUCAUGUGUUCUCCAUGCAAAUGCAUGUUCAGCAAGAAGUAUUCAAAGGGUCAGAAUUAACAGCUCAGUGGACGCAGAAAUUAGAGGCCAAAGCAGAAUGAUAUCAGUCUUUGGGUCUAGAAUGUUAUGCAUAAAACUAUAAAAUAACAAUCAGAAAGUAUUUUUGCAGUUAUUUGGUUGAAUGUUUUUACCAGAGUAGGAUUCCAUUCUACAGAUCCAUUACUGUUGGGAAUGUAGCCUUUAUUUCUACAAGCUGAGAAUUUAGUGCUUGAGAAUAUAGAUAUUUCUGUUUUGGGAAAAUUCUUACUUUUAAUCUGAACUGAAAUCUGGAUUCUACAAAUUCUUGUCUUUUGAUUUUAGCUAUUAUCUUUCUAAAUAGAAGACUCAUUACUAUGUGAGUAAAGGUAGUAAACAUGAGCCACUAGACUUUUUCCACUGCUAAAAAAUCAUCCUUUAAUAUUUGCUAAUUUUUAAUGUCUCUCUUCAAAAGAUAGAAGAAUGUGAGAAGAAACAAUCUCAUUUAAAGAGCAAGUGGUUUGGGGUUCUAGUGCACCUAAGUGACUAACAAUAACAUUGAAUAAAUCAAUUUAUAUUCUAGGCUUUCAGUUCUUUUGAAAUGAGAUAGCUCAUUGUUGAUGGGGUUGUGAAAAUGAUUCAGCCAUUCUAGAGGGAGAUUUGGGACUAUACCCAAAGGGCUAUCAAAGUGUGCAUACCCUUUGAUGCAGCAGUAUUACUA